UCUCGAAUGAUGAUAAAAUUCUCAAUGUUCGCAGUAGGAGAGUAAAAAGAAAAAAAAAAACUCCAUGACGAAAUAUAGCCUUUCCUUAGAUGUCUGACAUAAAGC
rnacentral:snoRNA from 1 species